UACGAAGGGAGCUAGCGUUGUUCGGAAUCACUGGGCGUAAAGCGCACGUUAGGCGGAUUUGUCAGUCAGGGGUGAAAUCCCGGGGCUCAACCUCGGAACUGCCUUUGAUACAGCAAGUCUUGAGUUCGAGAGAGGUGGGUGGAAUUCCUAGUGUAGAGGUGAAAUUCGUAGAUAUUAGGAAGAACACCGGUGGCGAAGGCGGCCCACUGGCUCGAUACUGACGCUGAGGUGCGAAAGCGAUGGGGAGCAAACAGGG
rnacentral:rRNA from 1 species